UACAGAGGGGGCAAGCGUUGUUCGGAAUUACUGGGCGUAAAGGGCGCGUAGGCGGCCUGUUAAGUCGAACGUGAAAUCCCUGGGCUCAACCCAGGAACUGCGUCCGAUACUGGUUGGCUUGAAUCCGGGAGAGGGAUGUGGAAUUCCAGGUGUAGCGGUGAAAUGCGUAGAUAUCUGGAGGAACACCGGUGGCGAAGGCGACAUCCUGGACCGGUAUUGACGCUGAGGCGCGAAAGCGUGGGGAGCGAACAGG
rnacentral:rRNA from 1 species